GUCCACGCCGUAAACGGUGGGCACUAGGCGUCGGGGGUAUCGACCCCUCCGGUGCCGUAGCUAACGCAUUAAGUGCCCUGCCUGGGGAGUACGGCCGCAAGGCUAAAACUCAAAGUAAUUGACGGGGGCCCGCACAAGCAGCGGAGCGUGUGGUUUAAUUCGAUGCAACGCGAAGAACCUCACCUAGGUUUGACAUGCUGGAAGUAGAACCCCGAAAAGGGAACGACCCGUAAAGUCGGGAGUCAGCACAGAUGCUGCAUGGCUGUCGU
rnacentral:rRNA from 1 species